AGUGAACGCUGGCGGUAGGCCUAACACAUGCAAGUCGAACGGCAGCACAGUAAGAGCUUGCUCUUACGGGUGGCGAGUGGCGGAAGGGUGAGGAAUACAUCGGAAUCUACUUUUUCGUGGGGGAUAACGUAGGGAAAAUUACGCUAAUACCGCAUACGACCUACGGGUGAAAGCAGGGGAUCUUCGGACCUUGCGCGAUUGAAUGAGCCGAUGUCGGAUUAGCUAGUUGGCGGGGUAAAGGCCCACCAAGGCGACGAUCCGUAGCUGGUCUGAGAGGAUGAUGAGGCACACUGGGACUGAGACACGGUCCAGACUCCUACGGGAGGCAGCAGUGGGGAAUAUUGGACAAUGGGCGCAAGCCUGAUCCAGCCAUACCGCGUGGGUGAAGAAGGCCUUCGGGUUGUAAAGCCCUUUUGUUGGGAAAGAAAAGCAGCAGGUUAAUACCCCGCUGUUCUGACGGUACCCAAAGAAUAAGCACCGGCUAACUUCGUG
rnacentral:rRNA from 1 species